rnacentral:rRNA from 1 species
AAUGAACGCUGGCGGCAUGCCUUACACAUGCAAGUCGAACGGCAGCAUGACCUAGCUUGCUAGGUUGAUGGCGAGUGGCGAACGGGUGAGUAAUGCAUCGGAACGUGCCUUUUAGUGGGGGAUAACGUAGCGAAAGUUACGCUAAUACCGCAUAUUCUCUGAGGAGGAAAGCAGGGGACCUUCGGGCCUUGCGCUAGAAGAGCGGCCGAUGUCGGAUUAGCUAGUUGGUGAGGUAAAGGCUCACCAAGGCAACGAUCCGUAGCGGGUCUGAGAGGAUGAUCCGCCACACUGGGACUGAGACACGGCCCAGACUCCCACGGGAGGCAGCAGUGGGGAAUUUUGGACAAUGGGCGCAAGCCUGAUCCAGCCAUGCCGCGUGAGUGAAGAAGGCCUUCGGGUUGUAAAGCUCUUUCGGCUGGGAAGAAAUCGCACCCUCUAAUACAGGGUGUGGAUGACGGUACCAGCAUAAGAAGCACCGGCUAACUACGU